GAUGAACGCUGGCGGCGUGCCUAAUACAUGCAAGUCGAGCGAACGGACGAGAAGCUUGCUUCUCUGAUGUUAGCGGCGGACGGGUGAGUAACACGUGGAUAACCUACCUAUAAGACUGGGAUAACUUCGGGAAACCGGAGCUAAUCCCGGAUAAUAUUUUGAACCGCAUGGUUCAAAAGUGAAAGACGGUCUUGCUGUCACUUAUAGAUGGUUCCGCGCUGCAUUAGCUAGUUGGUAAGGUAACGGCUUACCAAGGCAACGAUGCAUAGCCGACCUGAGAGGGUGAUCGGCCACACUGGAACUGAGACACGGUCCAGACUCCUACGGGAGGCAGCAGUAGGGAAUCUUCCGCAAUGGGCGAAAGCCUGACGGAGCAACGCCGCGUGAGUGAUGAAGGUCUUCGGAUCGUAAAACUCUGUUAUUAGGGAAGAACAUAUGUGUAAGUAACUGUGCACAUCUUGACGGUACCUAAUCAGAAAGCCACGGCUAACUACGUG
rnacentral:rRNA from 1 species